AUGAUCCACCAGCCUCAGCCUUCCAAAGUGCUGGGAUUACAGGUGUGAGUCACCAUGACCAGCCAGAAACUGCUUUAUUUCAUGUUCCACUUUCAGUUAUGCCAUGAUGAAAUAGGGUUUAUUAGACAUCCCAUCCUACUGUGAUUAACUAUAAAAUAAAAAAAUACGUAAAGCAACUUUUUAGGCAAUGUACAGAUGGUAAACAAAAAUGUCAGCUCUCUUUUAGGGGAAGUUCCUUGACUGCAGCUUAAAGAAGUAGAGACAAAGCAGAGAACAAAUAUCUUUCUGGGUGGAGGAAACAAAGAUUGGAAUGUAAGGCUUCUGGAAUUCUGAGGAUAACAUAAUGGAGAAGAGGAAUGUAGAACUUGUGGGAUACUGCAUUUUUUACAAGUUGAAGAUUUGUGGCAAACCCUCACUGAACAAAGUCUACAGGAAGGCUGAGAGAGGUAAAGAAGCUGCAGAAGAAAAAUUGAAGCUAGCAGAAAUUGGUUCAUAUGGAAAGAAGCCAUCUCCAUAACAGAAAAGCACAAGCAGAAGUGUUGAUGUAGAAUCUGCAGCACAUUAUCCAGAAGAUCUAGCUGAGAUGACU
rnacentral:lncRNA from 13 species